AAGCACGAAUUUUGCCUGCUGCACCUAUCAAGCACUGUUGAAUUCCGAUACCACUUGCAGAGACUUCUUAACAGGGACUGUGACGUGUGUUUCAUCUUCACCGUAGUAGCCUGCAGGGCUUCCCUCCUCACAGGUCUAGUAAUCACCCCCAAGGCUUUGAUGGUCCUGCCCUCGACAGCACGUAGCUGAAUUUUCAUUGGAAGAAUGGAAUGUCAUUCACA